rnacentral:misc_RNA from 1 species
AACGCACAUUGCACUCUAUUUCGGUAGAGUAUGCCUGUUUGAGAAUCUAAAGUAUUUAUUCUCGGUUCUUUUUUAGAACCGAGAGAUUUGGGCGUUCCACUUUGGCAGGUGGUCGCUUUAAAUUUAUAGCCGGUCGGUUCGUAUUGAUGCUUGAAUCUUUACAUAGGUUGACUUGACCGUAUUUGAAUGGAACCUCGGUUCUUUAAUAGUGCGUUAAAGGUCGGCAGUAGAGGCUAGUCUUUGCAAACCGGUUCGGUUCAAAAACAUAAAGGGAGGCUCGCAACAGUCUCUCUUGAACCAUGGUCUCAAAUCAGGUAGGAAUACCCGCUGAACUUAA